UGUGGAACCUGAACUUGCUAAAGACGC
rnacentral:piRNA from 1 species